GUAGGGAAUCUUCCACAAUGGGCGCAAGCCUGAUGGAGCAACACCGCGUGAGUGAAGAAGGGUUUCGGCUCGUAAAGCUCUGUUGUUAAAGAAGAACACGUAUAAGAGUAACUGUUCAUACGUUGACGGUAUUUAACCAGAAAGUCACGGCUAACUACGUGCCAGCAGCCGCGGUAAUACGUAGGUGGCAAGCGUUAUCCGGAUUUAUUGGGCGUAAAGAGAGUGCAGGCGGUUUUCUAAGUCUGAUGUGAAAGCCUUCGGCUUAACCGGAGAAGUGCAUCGGAAACUGGAUAACUUGAGUGCAGAAGAGGGUAGUGGAACUCCAUGUGUAGCGGUGGAAUGCGUAGAUAUAUGGAAGAACACCAGUGGCGAAGGCGGCUACCUGGUCUGCAACUGACGCUGAGACUCGAAAGCAUGGGUAGCGAACGGGAUUAGAAACCCUGGUAGUCC
rnacentral:rRNA from 1 species